ACACAUGCAGUCGAGCGGCAGCGGGAAAGUAGCUUGCUACUUUUGCCGGCGAGCGGCGGACGGGUGAGUAAUGCCUGGGAAAUUGCCCAGUCGAGGGGGAUAACAGUUGGAAACGACUGCUAAUACCGCAUACGCCCUACGGGGGAAAGCAGGGGACCUUCGGGCCUUGCGCGAUUGGAUAUGCCCAGGUGGGAUUAGCUAGUUGGUGAGGUAAUGGCUCACCAAGGCGACGAUCCCUAGCUGGUCUGAGAGGAUGAUCAGCCACACUGGAACUGAGACACGGUCCAGACUCCUACGGGAGGCAGCAGUGGGGAAUAUUGCACAAUGGGGGAAACCCUGAUGCAGCCAUGCCGCGUGUGUGAAGAAGGCCUUCGGGUUGUAAAGCACUUUCAGCGAGGAGGAAAGGUCAGUAGCUAAUAUCUGCUGACUGUGACGUUACUCGCAGAAGAAGCACCGGCUAACUCCGUGCCAGCAGCCGCGGUAAUGCGGAGGGUGCAAGCGUUAAUCGGAAUUACUGGGCGUAAAGCGCACGCAGGCGGUUGGAUAAGUUAGAUGUGAAAGCCCCGGGCUCAACCUGGGAAUUGCAUUUAAAACUGUCCAGCUAGAGUCUUGUAGAGGGGGGUAGAAUUCCAGGUGUAGCGGUGAAAUGCGUAGAGAUCUGGAGGAAUACCGGUGGCGAAGGCGGCCCCCUGGACAAAGACUGACGCUCA
rnacentral:rRNA from 1 species